rnacentral:rRNA from 1 species
UGCAGUCGACGGCUGUAGCAAUACAGCAGUGGCAGACGGGUGAGUAACACGUGGGAACCUACCUAGGGGUACGGAAUAACUCAGGGAAACUUGUGCUAAUACCGUAUACGACCUCAGGGUGAAAGAUUUAUCGCCCCUAGAUGGGCCCGCGCUGGAUUAGCUAGUUGGUGGGGUAAAAGCCUACCAAGGCGACGAUCCAUAGCUGGUCUGAGAGGAUGAUCAGCCACACUGGGACUGAGACACGGCCCAGACUCCUACGGGAGGCAGCAGUAGGGAAUCUUGGACAAUGGGCGAAAGCCUGAUCCAGCCAUGCCGCGUGAGUGAUGAAGGCCUUAGGGUUGUAAAGCUCUUUCGCCAGGGAAGAUAAUGACGGUACCUGGAUAAGAAGCCCCGGCUAACUUCGUGCCAGCAGCCGCGGUAAUACGAAGGGGGCUAGCGUUGUUCGGAAUUACUGGGCGUAAAGCGCACGUAGGCGGCAUUCCAAGUUGGAGGUGAAAUCCCUGGGCUUAACCCAGGAACUGCCUCCAAAACUGGAAAGCUCGAGUCCGAGAGAGGUGAGUGGAAUUUCCAGUGUAGAGGUGAAAUUCGUAGAUAUUGGAAAGAACACCAGUGGCGAAGGCGGCUCACUGGCUCGGUACUGACGCUGAGGU